rnacentral:rRNA from 1 species
GACGAACCGUGCGAACGUUGUUCGGAAUCACUGGGCUUAAAGGGCGCGUAGGCGGCUUACCAAGUCAGGGGUGAAAUCUUGCGGCUCAACCGUAAUAAGCCUUUGAUACUGGUAGGCUCGAGGGAGGUAGGGGCAUGUGGAACUUCUGGUGGAGCGGUGAAAUGCGUUGAUAUCAGAAGGAACGCCGGUGGCGAAAGCGACGUGCUGGAUCUCUUCUGACGCUGAGGCGCGAAAGCUAGGGUAGCGAACGGG